rnacentral:tRNA from 1 species
GCGGGUGUAGUUUAAUGGCAAAACUCGAGCUUCCCAAGCUCGCAUCGAGGGUUCGAUUCCCUUCACCCGCUCCA